rnacentral:lncRNA from 1 species
UCCUUCUAUUUCUAUUAAAACUAAAACUAAGAAAAACCCCUCAAAUGACUAACUAUCGAUACUGGAGUAUCCCGUAGUAAUGAAUGUGCACGUGAUUUGGGAUAGAGUAAUAUUGUUUGUUCUAUCUAUGUAAGACAAAAAAAACUCCACCUCGGAACUUCUAAUUGAGAUAUGAAUACACUACACCGGUUGCACAAAAAAAUGGGUUUUG